UAACAUUAAACUCACUUCAAACGCCAUUGCAUAGCGGACCGAAGUGGAGCUAACUGGUUAGCCGAUUUCCAGCUGACUUCACCAGACUCAUAGGCAACUAUGAAUACUAUUAAACUGUGGCGACACUUUUCAGUGGUUCGGGUGCAGUUGCUGGGUCCGGUAUGGUUGGGACUGAUCCUUUCAGUCAGUGUUGAGGCAAAGCCAGCUUUGUACUGACCCUCGUUAUUUAAAGGGGACAUAUUAUGCAAAACCCACUUUUUCCUUGCUUUACUAUGUAUAAUUGCAUAUCCGGAGUGCCUCCCGACCCCUUAAGAAUGAUUUAGGACCUCUACGUCAAUGUUUUGUAAAUAGGCGGAGUCAGGAAAUGUGUCUCUAAAAGAGCCAUUUGGAUUUCACCCGCACAGUUACGUAACAGUACGGGUGAUUUGAAUGCUCCAGCCCUCAGGCUGGAUAUCUCCUCCCAUAUUACUCCGGCUACCUGAAGGAGAAUCCGCCAUUUUCUCGCUUCACUUGUAUGCGACAGCCUGACCGCUAGCAUGUACAACCCGAAAGCCAAGCACUCCUGCUCUGUCGUCGGAUGCAUGGACACUCAUGUUUCCCUACAUCGCCUCCCUACCAAAGAGGAUAUCAGAGCGAAGUGGCUAAAUUUUAUUUUUCAGGGAAACGUCCCAGCUUCACUGAGCAAAAUCGUUGUUGUCUGUGCCAAUCACUUCACACCGGACUGUUUCAGCAACCAGGGUCAAUAUCCGGCUGGACUGGCAACGAGAUUGUUCCUAAAAGAUGGAUCAAUACCCACUGUCCGUGUCAACGCCACAGAAGAAGAAACUCCAAGCACAUCUGUACAGCAGUCUGUAGUGCAUCAUGUUGCCUGCCAGACAGACCAAGCAGUGAAAUGCACGGUUGGCACACAGCUUUCCAUGAGAACUAUCCGGCCUCACUUCAGAAGCACAGACUCUACCUGGCUGCCCUGCAUUACAAUGAAAAUACUGACUGACCACAGGCAACAUCUACAGGUGGAGAGCUUCUGUACAGUCAACUUCCCCAAAUCUAAGCAUGGAGAAUGAACUGCAAAGCCUGUGAAAGCAGAGCCAACAUUCCACUACGUUGAUGCACUGUUGGACCUGAUCUUCAAGAAGGUUUUCCAGGACCCUGGCCCAUAUGUGAACGAGGUGCUGAAACUUACAAUCCCUGAAGACCUCUCGGCUCAGUAUGAAAGACCCAACAACUCUGCAUGAAUCCUCAGCAUCACGCAGGCAGGCAGCACAGCUCUCACUCUUCGCCCCAGAAAGCACCAGCACCAGCUUACAAAGCUGCUGUAGGCUACGUAUCUAUAUUGGCUGGACACAAAUCAGUAGAAAGUCAGCACUGAAUGUUCACAUCCAUGGCAACUGGCAAGUUUAACUGUUCCACUUUAGAUAUUUAUUUUGUAUGUCUACAAUUGUUUCUUGCAAUAAAACUUCUCUCCCAACUG